GUCUAUAAUCAUAGCACCUUGAAUGCCUCUGAUCUCAUCUGAUCUCCCAAGCUAACCAGUGUCGGACCUGGUUAGUAACCACCCAGCCUCCCAGCACUCUUAGAAACAUGACAGGCAUUUGACU
rnacentral:rRNA from 1 species